rnacentral:rRNA from 1 species
CCUACGGGAUGCUGCAGUGAGGAAUAUUGGUCAAUGGACGAGAGUCUGAACCAGCCAAGUAGCGUGCAGGAUGACUGCUCUAUGGGUUGUAAACUUCUUUUAUAUGGGAAUAAAACGUUCCACGUGUGGGAUUUUGCAUGUACCAUAUGAAUAAGGAUCGGCUAACUCCGUGCCAGCGGCCGCGGUACUACGGAGGAUCCGAUCGUUAUCCGGAUUUCUUGGGUGUAAAGGGAGCGUAGGUGGAUUGGUAAGUCAGUUGUGAAAGUUUGCGGUUCAACCGUAAAAUUGCAGUUGAAACUGGCAGUCGUGAGUACAGUAGAGGUGGGCGGAAUUCGUGGUGUAGCGGUGAAAUGCUUAGAUAUCACGAAGAACUGCGAUUGCGAAGGCAGUUCACUGGACUGCAACUGACACUGAGGCUCGAAAGUGUGGGUAUCAAACAGGAUUAGAUACCCGUGUAGUC